rnacentral:rRNA from 1 species
CCAGACUCCUACGGAGGCAGCAGUGGGGAAUAUUGGGCAAUGGGCGCAAGCCUGACCCAGCAACGCCGCGUGAAGGAAGAAGGCCCUCGGGUUGUAAACUUCUUUUAUCAAGGACGAAACAAAUGACGGUACUUGAUGAAUAAGCCACGGCUAACUACGUGCCAGCAGCCGCGGUAAUACGUAGGUGGCAAGCGUUAUCCGGAUUUACUGGGUGUAAAGGGCGUGUAGGCGGGACUGCAAGUCAGAUGUGAAAACCAUGGGCUCAACCCAUGGCCUGCAUUUGAAACUGUACUUCUUGAGUACUGGAGAGGCAGACGGAAUUCCUAGUGUAGCGGUGAAAUGCGUAGAUAUUAGGAGGAACACCGGUGGCGAAGGCGGCUUUCUGGACUGAAACUGACGCUGAGGUACGAAAGCGUGGGGAGCAAACAGGAUUAGAUACCCUAGUAA